UUGUUGCCUGCUGAGGAGUAGGGAAGGCGCUGGCGUUGGGGCACCAGGGGACAGGGGGCAUCCCAAGGGCCUUUUGUGUCACCAGCACAGUGUUGCCGAGUGGGCAGUGGUUCGCCCAGUGACGGGGACGGCGGCUGUGGCCCCUCACCCGGCACCGCGCCCCCCCUUUAUUCACUGACUUCAGGGAGCAGCGGGAGUUUUCCUGAGGAGACUCUCUAGAGAGACGUGGGGGGGGGGCGUCAGUCUCGGGAGGGCGCUGGCCCGGUCCCCGCCACCAUACAGGGUCCCCCAGCACGGUCGGAGCGAUCACCUCGAAAUCUCCAAAGAAACCCGGGUGUGAGAAGCAGCGUGGGGCCGGGGAGGAACAUGAGCUCGGGGGCUGGAUCGAUAGCACAGCGGGUAGGGCGUUUGACUUGCACCUGGCCGACCCAGGUUCGAUUCCCAGCAUCCCAUAUGGUCCCCUGAGCACCGCUAGGGGUAAUUCCUGAGUGCAGAGCCAGGAAUGACUCCUGUGCAUCGCUGGGUGUGACCCAAAAAGCAAAAAAAAAAAAAAAAAAGAUUUCUUUUGCGGCUGGAGCGAUAUCGCAGCAGUUGGGCAUUCACCAUUCACACGGCCGACACAAGUUCGAUUCUUCCACCCCUCUUGGAGAGCCCGGCAAGCUAACGAGAGUAUCAAGCCCGCGAGGCAGAGUCUGGCAAGCUACCCGUGCGUAUUGGAUAUGCCAAAAACAAACAAUAAGUCUCUCAAUGAGAGAUGUUACUGGUGCCCGCUCGAACAAAUCGAUGAUCAACUGGAUGACAGUUACAGUGACAGUGAAAGUGACAGUGUUUGGGGUCAAACCCAGGGAUGCUCAAGGAGUACUUACAGCUCAGUGUUCAAGCAUCCCCCAUGCCAGGUCUUAGGAAUCUUUUGAUAUACUGGAAAAAUAGGCUGAUUUGUUCAGGUUUGUUUUCUGAGACACAGAAUGUUCCUUGAUGUGGCCGUAAGCUUCACCCCCAAAGAAGAACGUGCCUGCACGCUGCCUUCAGAGGAAGCUCUACGGGGACUUGAUGCUGUAGACCUGCCAGCAACUGUAGGCUGUCGCUGGGAGCCAUGUGUGUCCGACUUUCCUGGAAGAUCCACCGGGGCUCCUGGGUUACUCCUGGCUCUGCACUCAGGAAUCACCACUGGCCGUGCUCAGGGGACCAUAUGGGAUGCUGGGAUUCGAACCCGGGUCGGCCACGUGCAAGGCAAACGCCCUACCCGCUGUGCUAUCGCUCCAGCCCCACACCUGGUAAUUCUUAAGGGUCACUCAAGGUGGUGCUCAGACCCCAUUUUGGAUGCAGGAAUGGAAUUCACGUCGACCAAGUUCACAGCAGGUGGCAGCGCACUGUACUCUCUCUCUGUGUUUAUAAUUUUGUUCUGGAACUGCCUCCUGGGUUUUCCUUGGAGAAAAGAAUCUACUACUUGUGUGUUAUCAAGGGGUAGAGUGUUGACUGGACAGUGCUCUCUGAUGUCUUACCAGCCCUUGCUCCUGUUCCAGUGUCUCUCCAGGUCUCUGGGCUGCUGCGUGGCCAGUUCCUCUCUGCAUCUUCAGGGCUGACUUGGGCGUCACUGCUUUUACCCCACCUUGAUAGAUGACUUCCCCCGAAACUCAUUGUCCUGUGCCCCACACGCUCCCUAUCUGCCUGUUUCCCUUGAAUGAGCCCCCUUUGUGUUUCUCCUGAUGGACUGUGUGAGAGCAUUGGUUCAUUGUUUGCCCAGCACAAGACCAGAGGAUACUCCUUACUCCCCACUAGCCCCCACUGUGUGACAGGCCAUUCCAGCAGCUCCCUCUCCACCCCUUUACGCAAGCCCACCCCCUCGAGCCACAGAUUCAGCUGGGUGGUGAUAAUGGUUCUCUGAACAUCUGAAGUCUGGACCUUUAAGGCUGCUUGCUGAAAUGUAAGUGACAUCACAGUGGGGCCUUCCUGGUGAUUCUAUUCCUGGAAAAGGGUGAGAGUCAUUGUUCACCUGGGUAAAGGACAAAGUGGGCCCCCUGCGAGCACUCGGGGAUCUGAAGGCAGAUUUUGUGGCAGGACGGGGGCAGACUCUCAUGAGUGCUCAGCGCCUCCCCAUCUCCAUACUGAGCUGAGGAUCACCACCAGCUUGGGGGGCACUUUUGCACUUGUUUUUCUCUUAUUCCCUGAUAUCCAGGUGGUUCCUGAGGCGCGGCAGAGCUUUGGGGGGUGCAGGGGUUGAGGGUGUGAGUAUAUGAUCUUGGGGGGCUCCUGCAGCCACAAUCGCCUCCAGCUCUGAGAUGGGCCAAUGGCAGGAAUUUCUGCUUCUUCACAUCAAGUUGCAAGCUCUGCUGAGACUCCUGGCUAUGAGUUUCUUUUGACAGGGAGACUAUGAAGGAAUGGAGCAGUCAUUGGAAUCCUCCUGUGCAUUGUACAGGGAAGCAGCCAACCCCAGUGGAAUGUCUCUGAUCCUGCAUUCUGUGACAAUAUCUCGGAGUCAGCAAUCUCGCCCUCUGCUCCAUGGGGAUGCUGAGAAAGGCCUAAUGUCUUCUGAGGAUAUCAGUGUGGAGAGAGCGACCUCACUGUGAAGAAACUCUCACCUGGGAAAAUUUCCUCACAGUCUAUUCUCCUCAGUUUCUGGACACAAAGCCCUCAAAGGCAGCAGCCCCGGGACUGUGGGAGAGGAGCACCGUUUAUAGUGAGUCCCACAUGCCGACAUUCGCAUAAGGAAAGUCACCAUGUACUGACCCUGUCCAAGAAUAAUGUUCUCUUAGAAACCCACGGUAGACAGAAUCCCCAGGAUCGUUACCAGGGAGAACAAACUGAGUCAGGUAUCAUCGCAGUGUGUCAGUGCAAAGGUUCCAAACUGGAGUGAAACCGUUUAUGUAUACAGACUGUGGGAACACUUUCACUGCCCCCUCAAAACGUAUUAUACAUCAGAGAGUUCACACUGCAGAGAAACCUGAUGCAUGUGAGCAAUGUGGAAAGUCUUUUACCUUGCCCUCACAACUUAGUGUCCUCAGGGAAAUUCAUACAGGAAUGAAAACUUACUCAUGUCAGGACUGUGGGAAGGCCUAAACUUGCUCCUCUGAUCUCUUUCAUCACAGAAAGAGUCAUUCUGGAGAGAAACCUUAUUCACGUCAGGACUAUGGAAAGGUCUUUGCUUAUCACUCAAGCUAUUCUAUGCACAAGGAUAAUCACACUGGAGAGAAACAGUGAUUCUGUAAGACAGGUGGAAAGGCCUUCACUUGAUGGGCAGCCCUUAAAGGGCACAUGAAUACUCACUCUGGAGAGAAGUCUUAUAUAUGUCAGGAGUGGGGGAAGAACUUUAGUAGAUCCUCAGUUCUUACUGUACAUAGGAGAAUUCAUACUGGCUAGAAACCUUAUAAAUGUAAGGCAUGUGGAAAGGUCUUCAGUGAUUUAUGAGCCCUUAACAGACGUAUGAAUACUCAUACUGGAGAAAAGACCUUUGUAUGUCAGGAAUGUGGGAAGACCUUUAGCAGAUCCACGUAUCUUACUGUACAUAGUAGAAAUCCCAGCAUUAUGUAUGUCAGGAGUUUUGGAAGACCUUCAGCAUGUCCUCCUAUCUUACAGUACAUAGGAGAAUUCACACUGGAGAGAAGCCUCAGAAUUGUUAUGUUUGUGGGAGGACCUUCACUCACCAGUCAGUCUUUACUCAGCAUAUGAGAAGUCAUACUGGAGAGAUGCCUUAGUAGUGUCAGGAAUGUGGGAAGGCCUUUAGCUCAUGCUCAGUGCUCACUGUACAUAGGAGAACUCAUUUGGGAGAGAAGCCUUUUGUAUGUCAGGAGUGUGCGUAGACCUUUCUCAAAUAGUCAGAGUUGACUAGACAUAACAGAAUGCACACUGUCGAGAAACCUUAUAAAUGUAAGGCAUAUAGAAAGUCCUUCAUUUGAUCAUCUGCCCUUAAAACACAUAUGGGUACGUACAGUGCAGAGAAGUCUUAUGUAUGUCAGGAGUCUGGGAAGGCCUGACAUACAUAAGGCAUUAUACAGUAGUAGGAUAGCCUUAAUACUUACGUAUACUCAUAGGAGAAUUCACAUUUGAGAGAAACCAUAUUAGUGUAAGGACUGUGAGACAGCCUUCAUCAGCACCAGCGAUUUCAUACUAGAGAGAAAUUGAAUGUGAGAAAUGUGGAAAAGUUUCUCAUGCCUUUGUAGUCAUAGGAACAAUAUUGGAGAGAAGCUUUAUGUUUCCCUUUUUACUCCCUUUUUAAAAUUUUAGUUCUGGGGUUCUGAGUCGUUUUGGGUGGUGUUUGUUGUAUAAUCUGGAGAAUAGGGAUAUCCCCCACAAAUUAUGCAAGGAUGUGAAUCGGAUCAAGUAGAGACAUUGCUGUGAAAUUAUUUUGUAAGUUAUAAAGUGAGACCGUGACAAGCGACCCGUGGCAUACUUGAUGUGCCAAAAAUAUUAACAAUGAUGGUCCUCAUUCAGCUGACCCUGAGAGAGCCCCCAAUAUACCAUCAGCUUACACUGGUAUGCGCCGGGGACAAAUGGAGAUGUUACUGGCGCCCGCUCGUACAAAUUGAUGAACAACAGGAUGACAGUGAUACAGUGAAUUUAUAAACUGCCAUUUGAACAUUAGGCACGCGGAUGUGGCACAUAAAUAUAAGUUGGUGUUUCUGGCUUUAAUCUUUAUUUUAAAUUUGGCUUAUUAGUAUAAAGUAGCAGAUUAUGUUAAAGAAAUUUGGGGGAGAAAUGAUGUAUUAAUAAGGUUUUGGGGAAAGUGUUCUGAUCACUGUUAGGUCAUAGAAAUCAAUAAGACUUGCAGUGUAUUUGGGUCAUUUGUAUUCGGGAUAAUUAAGUGGGUAAUCCCCUCUGGUCACUUUGUCUUCUGACAUCUUCUUGCUGUGUGCUGGCCUCCUCUUACCACUUCAUUAGUCCUAACUUCUCUUCCAGGCAGUGACCUUUACAGUGCAGCCAUAUUUUCAUUCAUUAUUAGUGGGCUUAUAUGUUGGGCCGCUCAUUAGAUUGGACUGAGUGAAAUCAUCAUUUUGGUUGGUUAAAAACUGUCAUUUCAGCUUGCUCACCCUAAUACAAUAGGAACUCAAUAAAGUGUUGCUAAUUCUCUCAUUGGAUCAAUAAACCAAGCAGGGUGUUUUGCUGUAUAUCUCCUUGGAUCAUGGGUUUUUAUGAUAUUUUUAUGCUUCGAAUCCCUUGUCAGAAUAAGAAUUUUUGGUGCUUAAAAUGCAUAUCUACAAAUAAUUCCAUUUACAUUGAAAUACAGUUAUCAAAAUGAAAAUCCAAACUUGUCACAGA